GACGAACGCUGGCGGCGUGCUUAACACAUGCAAGUCGAACGGAAAGGCCCUGCUUUUGUGGGGUGCUCGAGUGGCGAACGGGUGAGUAACACGUGAGUAACCUGCCCUUGACUUUGGGAUAACUUCAGGAAACUGGGGCUAAUACCGGAUAGGAGCUCCUGCUGCAUGGUGGGGGUUGGAAAGUUUCGGCGGUUGGGGAUGGACUCGCGGCUUAUCAGCUUGUUGGGGGGGUAGUGGCUUACCAAGGCUUUGACGGGUCGCGGGCCUGAGAGGGUGACCGGCCACAUUGGGACUGAGAGACGGCCCAGACUCCUACGGGAGGCAACAGUGGGGAAUAUUGCACAAUGGGCGGAAGCCUGAUGCAGCAACGCGGCGUGCGGGAUGACGGCCUUCGGGUUGUAAACCGCUUUCGCCUGUGACGAAGCGUGAGUGACGGAAAUGGGUAAAGAAGCACCGGCUAACUACGU
rnacentral:rRNA from 1 species